GUGCUCGCUUUGGCAGCACAUAUACUAAAAUUAGAACGAUACAGAGAAGAUUAGCAUAGCUCCUGCGCAAGGAUGACAUGCAAGUUCUUGAAGUGUCUCAUAUUAAA
ensembl:snRNA U6 U6 spliceosomal RNA